UAUGUUGUAUGUUAUUGAUGAGCUGGAGAAACAUUCAGGAAAGAAAGUGAUUAUGGGAGACUUCAAUGAGGACAUCUUGACAUCAUCUACAAUUGGUACAUUAAUGGAACUACAUGGAUACAGUCAACAUGUGCAACAUCCUACUACUGAAAAAGGUACACUGAUAGACCAUGUCUAUGUUAAAGAUGCAGAAAAUGUUUCAGUUGAAAUUGUGCAAACAUAUCACAGUUACCACCAAGCAGUCCUUAUUUCACUGAGGUAAUAAUUCAUAUGUGAUGUACUGAAAUCAGUAUAACUGCAUUAUCUUUUCUUUUCUGUGCCCUUACUAUGCAAUGUUCAUCCUGAGCUUCCAACUGGCAUACAACUGCAGAUUAAGUGUACAACUGGAGACGGUAUGUUCUAAGACUAUAUCUAUAUCUAAAUUAAUAAUUCUUAUAAUGAUCCAUCAGUUAAAUCAUCAGUUGAAUCUGUACAGAUGUUCCAUGUUAUCAAUGAAGUAAUAUCUGAAGGUAAUCCAUUUUAUCUAUGCAACACUGAAAUUGAAUUGUAUCACUGUAUUGUCUAUUCUGUUUUUGUGUCCAUACCAUGUGAGCACUAUCCUGAGACUCCAAGAUGGUCAGAGUCCGGUCGAUCCAGCCUCAAAUUCAAACAAGUGAUCAUCAAUCACAAUCCUUUAUCUCCCAUAAUUGCUGUUCUUUCUUGAGCUAGUAAGCUUCAUCCAGCCAAGUCAUAUUCUAAGCCAUCCAAACAAUAAUGGAUGCUUCCAAACAUCGUAGGAAGCAUCCACAAAGACUGCCUGCAUCCAUCCAUUUUCUCCUAAUAGAUCACAAUUAAGUUAAUAGAACACAAAAAUGGAAUGUUGAGGUUUGUGCAUCAAAUCUCAAUAACUACUUUCCACUACUCUCAAAAGAUUUCUACAAUACAGUACACUUCAAACGUCCUCCUUUAUACAUAAUGAUUCUCCACUCCAUGAACUGUUUUUAUGAAGCAGCACAAAACCAAUAAAAAGGUUUGUGCAUCAAAACCCAAUAUCUGCUGUCCAGUACUCUCAAAGAUUUCUACAAUAUGUACACGUCAAACUUCAAUAUCCAUUAUGAUCCUCCGCUCCAUGAAUCGUUUUUAUGAAGCAGCACAAAACCAAAAAAAAGGUUUGUGCAUCAAAACUCAAUAUCUACUGUCCACUACUAUCAAAAGAUUUCUGCAAUUCGCUACACUUCAAACUUCCUUCUCCAUUAUGAUUGUCCACUCCAUGAACCGUUUUUAUGAAGCAGCACAAAACCAAUAAAAAGUUUUGUGCAGUACAAGUCAAUAACUACUGUCCACUACUCCCAAAAGAUUUCUGCAAUAUGCUACACUUUAAACUUCCUUCUCCAUUCUAUGAUUCUCCUCUCCAUGAAUUGUUUUUAUGAAGCAGCACAAAACCAAUAAAAAGGUUUGUGCGUCAAAACCCAAUAUCUACUGUCCACUACUAUCAAAAGAUUUCUACAAUAUGUACACGUCAAACUUCAAUAUCCAUUAUGAUCCUCUGCUCCAUGAAUCGUUUUUAUGAAGCAGCACAAAACCAAUUAAAAAGGUUUGUGCAUCAAAACCCAAUAUCUACUGUCCACUACUAUCAAAAGAUUUCUACAAUAUGUACACGUCAAACUUCAAUAUCCGUUAUGAUCUUCUGCUCCAUGAAUCGUUUUUAUGAAGCAGCACAAAACCAAUUAAAAAGGUUUGUGCAUCAAAACGCAAUAUCUACUGUCCACUACUAUCAAAAGAUUUCUGCAAUUCGCUACACUUCAAACUUCCUUCUCCAUUAUGAUUGUCCACUCCAUGAACCGUUUUUAUGAAGCAGCACAAAACCAAUAAAAAGUUUUGUGCAGAACAAGUCAAUAACUACUGUCCACUACUCCCAAAAGAUUUCUGCAAUAUGCUACACUUCAAACUUUCUUCUCCAGUAUAUGAUUCUCUACACCUUCAACUGUUUUAUGAAGAGGCACACAACCAAUAAAACGAUUUCUACAAUAGCUACAGUUGAAACUUCCUCCUUAUCCAUUAAAUGAUUCUCCACUCUAUGAACUCUUUUGAUGACGCACACAACCGAUAAAAAAGUGAAUACAAAACCAUUGUUCAAGUUUCUUCAGAAAAUGUCCCGGCAAAACUCUAAACUGAUGCAGGCAGUCAAUAUUCAGAUAUCACAAAUCCAUAACCAGAAAAUUAACACAAUUAUAUAUGAAAUGUUGGAUGGAUGGCUUGUAUUUAUAUUUAGCCUAUGUACAGCAAAUUUAGAUGCCAGCCCAAGGAGGAUGGCUUGCCCCUGCUGAGUCUGGAUCCUCCCAAGGUUUCUCCCUAUACCUCUCUGCUGAUGAUGCUCCUCUUCACUAAUUUAGGGAGUUUUUCCUUGCCACUGUUGCCUUCUGGCUUGCUCACUGGGGUAUUAAGGCAGAAUAUUUUCAAUGUAAACUGUGUAAAGUGUUUGUAAAGAAUAAAAACAUGA